AUUGAACGCUGGCGGCGUGCCUAACACAUGCAAGUCGAGCGGUAACAGGUGUAGCAAUACAUGCUGACGAGCGGCGGACGGGUGAGUAACGCUUGGGAAUCUGCCUAUUAGUGGGGGACAACCCGGGGAAACUCGGGCUAAUACCGCAUACGCUCUACGGAGGAAAGCCGGGGACCGCAAGGCCUGGCGCUAAUAGAUGAGCCCAAGUCGGAUUAGCUAGUUGGUAGGGUAAGGCCUACCAAGGCGACGAUCCGUAACUGGUCUGAGAGGACGACCAGUCACACCGGAACUGAGACACGGUCCGGACUCCUACGGGAGGCAGCAGUGGGGAAUAUUGGACAAUGGGCGAAAGCCUGAUCCAGCGACGCCGCGUGGGUGAAGAAGGCCUGCGGGUUGUAAAGCCCUUUCAGUGGGGAAAGAAAAGCCUCGACCUAACACGUCGGGGUCUUGACGUAACCCAUAGAAGAAGCACCGGCUAACUCUGUGCCAGCAG
rnacentral:rRNA from 1 species